AAGCAUUACAUGUUAUUCUUAACACCUGCCACUUCUCUCUUCCCACCUCUAUCUGCCUUAUUGAACUUCAUCUUUCCUUCAUUCUCUUCAACUUCCACUUCUUCUUGUAUGGUCCUGUUGAUGCCAUCUUGUUUCCGUCCCCAGACUCAUCAUCUUUACCCUCUGUCAACUGAGUUCCCACCCUGGUUCUCUCUCAAGAUCUUCCUCUCAUAGCUUUCACCCUUGGUAAACAAUGAGGACACAUCUCAAAAAGAAUGAUGUAAUUUAAUUGCCUUGAGUUGGCUGGGCCAUCAUCUAUUAUAAAGUGCUCUUAAAAUUAAAGCUAAUUUAAUUCUGAAGAACUAAGGAUUAAGAAGUUAAGAGCUGGGGUUCUUACAAUAUGGCUUGCAGACUACAAGUGUGAACUGAGGAGGUCCCCAAAGUCACUUCUUACUAAGUUCAGAUAGGUGAUGGAUUGAAAAUAAUCCCAAUAUUCCACAAGCAACAUCAACAUCCCCCACACACCCAGCACCGAGGAAUACCCUCCUCUCUAGAAUGUGAGGCCACUGUGUGGAGGAAGACACCACGGUGCUCUACUGAGCCAUGAAAGUCACGCCUGACCUAAACAGAAGACUACGUCCCCUGGCUAAAAGAGGAAAUAGUUGAAAGCGGUGUAAAUGGCUCUUAUCUGAACCACAAUGAAUUCACAUAUUCAAGUUGGCUUCUUCGGAAAUUUCAGGCCACAAAUGGCAGUGAUGCGACCAGGAGCAGUAACACGAUUACAAGUCGCAAUUUAGGAAGGGUGCUCCAUCAUCAUUUCAUGAUUCUCACUACAGCCCAGACAGGUGGGCAGAGCAGUGUUCUUUCCCCUUUAAUGAAUGAAGAAGCUGAGCCUCAAACAGAUGAGGGGGCUUCCUGGGUUCACAGAGCUCUAAAGGGCUGAGCUGUAGAUCCACGGCCACCAUGAUGAGCUAAGAGUUUCUGGAUUCAGUGCCUGCUGUUGCUCCUGGAGAUUUGUAUCCUGAUUGAAGGCUGGUUCCAUAUCUGUUCACCCAGUCACCUUUAAAAUUAAGUCCUGGGCACAAAUCAUUAGUCUGGCAAGUUACAUCACUGUGCCACUUCCAUCCGGACAGAAGGAACCCAGGUCAAGGCUGACAGGAGGAGCAGGAGCCGUCAAUGAGAGCAGACCUCAGAAGCCAACGGAGGUGAGAAGAGCACCAUCCACAGCCCCAUCCUCUGAAUGCUGUGGGAAGAAGUCCACAAAAUACCACCCCUUGGAGUCAGUCAGUAGUAGAGCCCUUGCUGCUGGCUGCAAAUACCCCAUCAGAACAUGUUUGGGGUGAUUCUUGGACCUGGUUUCAAUUUCUUUUCUGCCAGUCAGCAGUUGUGCUUGACUCACAAUUUGUUGCCAUCUCUUGAAUUAAACUCAGGAAACAGGAUAAAGAUCAGAACCACAUUGUAAAAGCUUCCUUAUGGUUCAUUUUUUGCUGAGAUAAAUAAUGAGCAGCUCUGAUCCAUGUCUCUGGAGAGCUCAGAGCACACUACCAGGAGCUCCUAGCCACAGGGUGAGCACAGGUGGCUGGUGUUCUCUUGAUGAGGAAAGACAGCAGUGUCCAAUCUACCCUGCCUUACACGGAGCCCCAGGUGCUCUCCCGGACUGUGUUGCUACCUAAAGCACAUGGCAAUUGCAUGAUGCUAACCAGAGCAGCCCCUCACUCAUUAGAAACAUCUGCUUUGCAUUAUUUACACAGGCAAAGUUUUCCUUUUUACUGAGCCUACCCAGUUCAAACUUAAGUGGGAUUUGCCAGCUAUCUGGCUAAUUUUAUGAGCAAUAAUAAAGAUUGGUGAACACUUG
rnacentral:lncRNA from 1 species